rnacentral:rRNA from 1 species
UGCGGAAUCUUGCCCAAUGGGGGAAACCCUGAUGCAGCGACGCCGCGAGAGUGAAGAAGUCUUUCGGUAUGUAAAGCUCUAUCAGCAGGGAAGAAAAUGACGGUACCUGACUAAGAAGCCCCGGCCA